AUUGAACGCUGGCGGCAGGCCUAACACAUGCAAGUCGAGCGGCUGAUGGGAGCUUGCUCCUGGAUUCAGCGGCGGACGGGUGAGUAAUGCCUAGGAAUCUGCCUGGUAGUGGGGGAUAACGUCCGGACACGGGCGCUAAUACCGCAUACGUCCUGAGGGCGAACGUGGGGGAUCUUCGAACCUAACGCUAUCAGAUGAGCCUAGGUCGGAUUAGCUAGUUGGUGGGGUAAAGGCCUACCAAGGCGACGAUCCGUAACUGGUCUGAGAGGAUGAUCAGUCACACUGGAACUGAGACACGGUCCAGACUCCUACGGGAGGCAGCAGUGGGGAAUAUUGGACAAUGGGCGAAAGCCUGAUCCAGCCAUGCCGCGUGUGUGAAGAAGGUCUUCGGAUUGUAAAGCACUUUAAGUUGGGAGGAAGGGCAGUAAGUUAAUACCUUGCUGUUUUGACGUUACCAACAGAAUAAGCACCGGCUAACUUCGUG
rnacentral:rRNA from 1 species